rnacentral:rRNA from 1 species
UACGUAGGGAGCAAGCGUUGUCCGGAAUCAUUGGGCGUAAAGCGCGCGUAGGUGGCUUCGUAAGUCCGUUGUGAAAGUCAAAGGCUCAACCUUUGAAAGCCGAUGGAUACUGUGAAGCUAGAGUACGGAAGAGGCGAGUGGAAUUCCUGGUGUAGCGGUGGAAUGCGUAGAUAUCAGGAGGAACACCGAUGGCGAAGGCAGGUCUCUGGGCUGACACUGACGCUCAUGCACGAAAGCGUGGGGAGCAAACAGG